CUAUUAUUUUCUGAAAGUAACAUGGAAAUAAUGUAUUUCCUACUACCUCUCUCUUUUCAAAUCUAGUGAUUUCAAGAACAGAUUGGCAUGUUUACUUGCACAUAAUUUACUUUAUGUGCCCCCCCUGACCACCUAUAAACCAUGCUUGCUGAGGUUGCUAAAGAGAUCUGAGGAAUCAGUAAUCUCAUAUUUGCAGUGUGAUUCAUACUCAAAGUAAUCAACCCUAGCUUACUCUUCCCAGAGGAAACAUGCAAGGACAGCGUGGUACCAAUAUGAAAAUUUCAUAGUCAAUAAACAUUUAAUAAGCACCUACUACAUUAAGUACUGGUGACACAAAUGCAAAAAUGAUAGUCCCUGCCCUCAAGAAGCUUACGAACUAAUGAAGGAAGACAAUACACAAAAGGAAGUUGAAAACGGGAAUGGGAAAAGGAAAGUACUCAGUGUAGGGGCAUGAUGGCAUCCAAAGGAUGCAGCCAGGUGGGAAAUGAAGAGAUGGCUGUCUUGGGCACCCUCUUGAAUGGAGUUUGAGGGGUGAAGUCUCUGCUCUGCUCUCCAUUCAGAGGGAUUCCAAGAACAGAGGAUACUAAGGUGUGAGCAAUAAGCCUGAAGUGGUCUUGUAGAAUAAUGACUUUCCUUAGGGAAUGAUGAAGACCAAAGGGGUGUAGUUGAAUGGAAAAUGAAUUUGAGCACCUUAAUUGGUUUGGAUUUGCAAGAGAUACCUUCUUCAGGAAACUGAGGCCGAGAGAACAUGGAUGCUGCCAUCUAACACCUUGCCAUCCAACAAAAAUAGAUCUUCAAGUAUUCUACUUGGAAAAUCAUACUGUCAACUACUGCUUUUUGACUUUAAUGUUUCUCACUGACCUUCACAAGAGGAAACAGGUUGGGCAAAACAAGCUGCCCCCAUAAAACCCAUUAACAUAUCUUUGGGCAAAAUCAGAAGAGAAAAUUGAUGCUUUUCCAUCCUAACAAGUGAAAUAUAGGUGAGUGCAACUUGACUGCUUCCUCAUUCACUAUUUGGAGUCGAUUUAUUUCCCAUAGGUUGGGUAAGAAAACAAUCCAAAAAAGCUUACAGGGAAAUCUCACAAUUGAUCUACUCACUCAUCCCUCCCUUCUACCACUUUUGAUCACUCAUUAUUAAUUUAAAAACACUUACCAAGAGCCUACUAUAUACUAUGG
rnacentral:lncRNA from 1 species